GUCCAGGGGCGGGAAUCGAACCCACAACCUUCCGCUUACGGGCAGAUGCCAUGUCCACUAGGCUACCCUGGA